ACGGAGGGUGCAAGCGUUAUCCGGAUUCACUGGGUUUAAAGGGUGCGUAGGUGGGCUAGUAAGUCCGUGGUGAAAUCCCCGAGCUUAACUUGGGAACUGCCAUUGAUACUAUUAGUCUUGAAUAUCGUGGAGGUAAGCGGAAUAUGUCAUGUAGCGGUGAAAUGCUUAGAUAUGACAUAGAACACCAAUUGCGAAGGCAGCUUGCUACACGGUCAUUGACACUGAGGCACGAAAGCGUGGGGAGCAAACAGGA
rnacentral:rRNA from 1 species